rnacentral:miRNA from 1 species
AUCUUGUUAAAAUGUAGGUGCUGAUUCAGUAGAUCUGGAGUGGGCCUGAGAGUCUGCAUUUUUAACAAGCUC